CCAUUUCCGGUCUACCGGAUGUUGAGUGAGGAGGAAAAAACAAUUGAAUCACGAAUACAAUAAGCUAACAUUUCAAAUUAUGGCACACACCACUGUAUCUGAACGUUGGCGAAAACAUCAAUGUUAUGUGCAAUGCAUUAUUUAUAAAUAUUGAUAUUUGUCGGGUUUGGACUAAAACACGGUAUGUUGACAUUAGCUAGCUAGUAGCUUUCAUGUCGACAGCUAUCUAACUGGUGGUUCGAGGACAAGUUUGCACUAACACAUUUUUGGGGUACCUGGAGACGGUAGUGGCCAUUACCUGGCUAGAUUGUGGUGGAAGAGGAGACGCGUGGUUUGAACAAAAGCUGGAUGAUCGUUCUUGCCUGGGAUGCUAUUGGAGGAUCUACGUUGAACAUUUACAUUUUCCUCAUCAGUCCCGCCAGAGAGCCUGCCUAAAAAUAAAGACAAGCAAGAGACUGACUGACAUGGGAAGUAACAUUUCCUUCAGUAGAGGAGUCAAUGAUGAGGAAACAGUCAGCCUUAUCUGCUGCCCAUAGCAACCCUCCUGAACCCUUGCCUGCCUUGACUAACGAGAAACCGGUAACUGCUGAUACUGGCAAUGGAGACGCUACUGUUCUAAUGUGUCCCCCUUCAGAGUAUUUUCAUGUCUAGAACUGUAUAUCUGAUACAAUAUACCCAUAUAUGUGUGCGAUAUGUGCUGCAUCUGCCUGUUUCUCUAUAUUUGAUUAUGAAAACUAAGACCGGCGCAAAAGGAAAGCAUUAACGUGUUAUAUUUUUUAAUAUAUAUAUAUAUACAGUGAGGGGGAAAGUAUUUGAUCCCCUGCUGAUUUUGUACGUUUGCCCACUGACAAAGAAA